rnacentral:rRNA from 1 species
UACGGGGGGGGGCAAGCGUUGUUCGGAAUUACUGGGCGUAAAGGGCUCGUAGGCGGCCAACUAAGUCAGACGUGAAAUCCCUCGGCUUAACCGGGGAACUGCGUCUGAUACUGGAUGGCUAGAGGUUGGGAGAGGGAUGCGGAAUUCCAGGUGUAGCGGUGAAAUGCGUAGAUAUCUGGAGGAACACCGGUGGCGAAGGCGGCAUCCUGGACCAAUUCUGACGCUGAGGAGCGAAAGUGUGGGGGAGCGAACAGG